CCUCCAGCCACACUCUCCGUCCACUGUGCACCUCCACGCACUUAGCUGUCAGUUCUUUCAAACUAGUAUAAGUAAAAAUGAUAAUUUUGCUUCAGCUGGCUUUACUUACUGCAGGCCUUGGAGGUGUGCAGUCAGAGGUGCAACUGGUCGAGUCUGGAGGGGAUGUAAAACGGCCGGGAGAGUCCCUGCUCCUCUCCUGUCGAGCCUCCGGCUUCACCUUCAGCAGCUACUACAUGGCCUGGGUGCGCCAGGCUCCAGGGAAGGGCCUGGAGUGGGUUGCCUAUAUAACCGACAGUGGGGGCAGCACAUACUAUGCGGACAAGGUGAAGGGGCGCUUCACCAUCUCCAGAGACAACCCCUCCAACAUGCUGUUCCUGCAAAUGAGCAACCUGAAUGCUGAAGACAUGGCCGUGUAUUACUGUGCAAGAGACACAGUGGGAGGAAGAAGCCUCAAUCUGGAUGAUUUGGAGAAGGAUCUGGGCAGUUUCAAGGGGGAGGAGACUCUCAGAGGCUGCAAGCUCCAGCACUGUCCUUCCCAUCAAUCCAACGGGGGCAGCUGGUAUAUCCACAGGGUGUGA